UACGUAGGGGGCAAGCGUUGUCCGGAAUCAUUGGGCGUAAAGAGCGUGUAGGCGGCUCGGUAAGUCCGCUGUGAAAGUCCAGGGCUCAACCCUGGAAUGCCGGUGGAAACUGUCGAGCUAGAGUCCGGAAGAGGCGGGUGGAAUUCCUGGUGUAGCGGUGAAAUGCGCAGAUAUCAGGAGGAACACCAACGGCGAAAGCACUCUGCUGGGCCGACACUGACACUGAGAGACGAAAGCUAGGGGAGCGAAUGGG
rnacentral:rRNA from 1 species